rnacentral:rRNA from 1 species
AACGAACGCUGGCGGCAUGCCUAACACAUGCAAGUCGAACGGAACCUCCGGGCUUAGUGGCGCACGGGGGCGUAACGCGGGGUAACCUGCCCUUGGGUUCGCAAUACCUCCCCGAAAGGUGUCCUAAUACCGGUGAAUCUCUUCCGACCAAAGAUCUAUCGCCUUUGGGUGGGCCCGGGUUGGAUUAGCUGGUUGGUAGGGUAAAAGCCUACCAAGGGGACGAUGCAUAGCUGGUCUGAGAGGAUGAUCAGCCACACUGGGACUGAGACACGGACCAGAAUCCUACGGGAGGGAGCAGUGGGGAAUAUUGUAGGAUGGGCGAAAGCCUGAUACAGCAAUGCCGGGUAAGUGAUGAAGGCCUUAGGGUUGUAAAGCUCUUUUACCCGGGAUGAUAAUGACGGUACCGGGAGAAUAAGCACCGGCUAACUCCGUG